UACGUAGGGUGCGAGCGUUAAUCGGAAUUACUGGGCGUAAAGCGUGCGCAGGCGGUUGUGCAAGACAGAUGUGAAAUCCCCGGGCUUAACCUGGGAACUGCAUUUGUGACUGCACAGCUAGAGUACGGCAGAGGGGGAUGGAAUUCCGCGUGUAGCAGUGAAAUGCGUAGAUAUGCGGAGGAACACCGAUGGCGAAGGCAAUCCCCUGGACCUGUACUGACGCUCAUGCACGAAAGCGUGGGGAGCAAACAGG
rnacentral:rRNA from 1 species